rnacentral:lncRNA from 1 species
CCAUACUUCAUUUCUCUUGAAUUGGCCUAACUCCUCCUGCAUGGCAUUUAUCCAAAACUCAUCAGUCAAGGCUUCCUGGACGUUCCUAGGCUCAAUCUUGGACACAAAACAGCCAUGUGAGAUCACUUCCCUUGAUCUAGUUGUGACCCCUUUAUUUGGGACUCCUAUAAUGAGAUCUUUGGGAUGAUCCUUCUGAAUUAUGAUGGAGGGUCCCUUGUUGAUUUUGUCAGCUUCAGGUUCAGCUUGAGGAGGUUCACUCUCAUUAUUGU